rnacentral:rRNA from 1 species
UACGAAGGUGGCAAGCGUUGUUCGGAUUCACUGGGCGUACAGGGAGCGUAGGCGGUUGGGUAAGCCCUCCGUGAAAUCUCCGGGCCUAACCCGGAAAGUGCAGAGGGGACUGCUCGGCUUGAGGACGGGAGAGGAGCGCGGAAUUCCCGGUGUAGCGGUGAAAUGCGUAGAGAUCGGGAGGAAGGCCGGUGGCGAAGGCGGCGCUCUGGAACGUUUCUGACGCUGAGGCUCGAAAGCGUGGGGAGCAAACAGGAUUAGAAACCCCUGUAGUCC